rnacentral:lncRNA from 1 species
GAGCCGUAGACAGAGAGAGCCAGAGACAGAAUCAGCACCAGACCAGCAGCCGAAAGAGAGCCAGCAAUCUCAGCAACCUCGGGCACGUUGCGCAGCGGGCCCAGCUGCAGGGAACAUUGUAAACCAUACAGAAGAAGUCAUCAGCAACACAGCUCUGCUCGUAGUACCUUCCAAAGUUUGCCAAGUAAUCGGCAAGCAAAUCCUUGAUAUCCUUUAUUCCGUAAGUUCACAGCCUGUUACUAGAAGGUAUGCCUAUUGAAAGUGCGCAUUUAAGCAAAUAGGCAAAGCACAGCCAUUCCCUGGUGACUGGUAGUGUCAAUCGACAUCGGACAACAAGAGCUCGUCGCUGUGCAUAUGUAACGAAGUUAUCGCUGGGACCUACCUUAAUGAAGGGGCCAGCUACCAGGAAGCCGUGCGCAAGGCCAAUCUCCACGCCGCGCAGCAGGGGAGCAACGCCAGUGCGGUAGGCCGGCAGGUUGCUCAGGUAAGUGGCGACGAUUGGGGCCGAGGUCACGGGGGUCUCCAGCAUACCCACGAACGGAUCGCCGUUAACGGGGGUGAUCACCUGGGCCUGCAGACGAGCAAGUGUGGAUAGUAAUUUGCCUUUUCAUGGACGGUUCUCUAUGAAGACAAGAGAAGUUUGCACUGUAAUCAUAUUUUCAGCUGGUGAUCUUCAC